rnacentral:rRNA from 1 species
GUGAGUACCGUCAUUAUCUUCCUCAACAACAGGAGUUUACAAUCCGAAGACCUUCUUCCUCCACGCGGCGUCGCUGCAUCAGGGUUUCCCCCAUUGA